AUACUCUUUAAUAACGAUACACGCUCUAAAAAGAUGUUUUUUCUAUUCACCAGAUGCAGCUCUUGUCCGCUCACGUUGAUGGAUCGAUGCGAUUCUCCGGCAAAAUGGAAGGAGGUGACAGUCCAGAUCCAAACAAUAACCACAACAAUCAACCUGGUAUUGGUCAUUCGCCAUCAUAAGUGAUUGUGAUCACAUUUUUCCCGAGUUGACGACUGUAUCGGGGUGCUGCUUGGGUUUCAGUCGUAGAACUGAUUUUUCAACGAUGGUUAAACCUUCAGUGCAAGUGAAAGAAAUCUGUAUUCUGAACAUGAUUUAGCUUAUUUGAAAUCAAUCCAGGGAGACUUUGAACGUCAAGAGACCAAUCGAACAAAAAGAAAACAGAUAUUUUGACAGAAAUGUAUAUCAACAUUUUUUGAACAACGAUUCGUACAAACGUUGGAAAUCUAGAACUUAGUAUGUGGCAACGGUUAGGAAAUUCUUCCAAAAAUACAUAAGAAAUCCCGGAGCUUUUGUUUUAAUUCUUUUUUUAUUACAAUCUUAAAACAUGCCUUUUUUACAAUGCGUUCCAGCACAUUUAUACAUGUGGACUCGCGUUUACUUUUUCAUUUAUAGCUCAUGAUUGACAAGAUUUUUUAAAUUUCGAAUUGGAUAUAGGAAUAUGAUUGCUACCUGCACGAGCAUGUGUUCCGGGUGCUCCAGUUUCUACUAUAAUACGUCCUAAAUACGCAUCUGUUCCCGUCAAUAAGGGGAAUUAUGCAAGUAAUAAUUUGAUUCAUCACUGUUAUAAAUUAAACUUUAAAACGCUAAUUAUUUUCAAGAUAUCUUACUUUCUUUCUAAUUUGUCUUAAUGGAUAUAAGCAGGAAAAUCAUCUCCAAAACUGUCAUAAAAACAUAGGUCAGCGUACCCGUAUUUUUGAAGCCAAAAAGAAUCAAGAAACAUUUUGCUGUUGAAAUAAUAAACUGAUAUUGAAAUUUGUAGUUUCUGGUUUUUUUUCCAUUUUCACAAUGUAAGAUAAACAACUCUUGUUCUUUAAGAAGAGAAAAAGGAGUUAUAUCGUUUUUCAAACGUCAAAUUCAAUUAGGAUGCUAAAAAAGGCCUCGCAUGUUCAUUUGAUGUACGUUAAAAUUUAAUUUCAUGUUUUGACCAAAAUAAAUUUUACAAGAAUUCCAAAGGAGAUAUUCUCCAACAAUUAAAAUUGACGAUCAAAACUUUUAUGAAGAUUUUUUUCAGCGACGGAAAUGUGUAACAAGAAAGAAUUUGAUUUCCGAUAUGAACUAAUUGUAUAAUUUGUAACCUUAAUUGCAGCUUUUCUAUAUGAAAUAAAGAUGAGAGUUGCAACCUAAUGAGCUAUUAUCCUUUAACUACAUUUUGAAUACAUAUCAUCAAUAAAAGUUUCAAAAUUAA